AAUUCAGUUUUAGUAUAAGAUACAAUUUAUAUCAAUAUUGAUACCUCAUUUAGGCACAGCCCUAUGGGUGGGCUCGGGCCAAUCCCUUUCAAACUUAGAUAUGACCUGCCCCGGCCCAAAAAAAAAAUUAAAAACUAAAAAAACAACUUGACAAGACCUGACCGAAGCCAAAAAAUUUAGAGCCAGCUCGGCCCGAUAAAGAACUCUAAAUUCAAGGAUGUAAAGAAUGUGAUAAAAUAUUUUGCUUUAAAGUAACUAAAAAUCAAACAGUCCACACUUUAUUUGAGUUUUAUACAUACAAUUUAGACAGCAUAAAUAAAGUCCACGUCGAUUUCCAUAUGUGUAUAUUAAACGUCAUGAUACCCAUUUUGAGCCGUGCAAUGAAAUUCUCUAAGAAGGUUUGUAAAAUAAGCAAGCGUUCUUGAUAUAUAUUGUCGUUGUUGUUAGUGUUGAUACCGUCAAUGUAAAGGGCAUGUAAAGAAGGUGUAAUCUAGAUAUUUAUGUGCAUUUAGUGUGAGUUGUGCUAAAUAGAGUGUUUCCUUUCUAACUUCUACUUAGAACUCUUUAAUUAUUCAAUAAGUUUUUACGUUUCAUUUGAAAGCUUGAUACUCCAAAACAAACAUUAUACACUUAUUUUAUCUGGUGUAUAAACACAAAAGAGAAUUGUAAAAUGACUUUUAUUUUUGUAAAUUAUUAAUCCCAUUUUACAAUGUGAAAAGAAAACUUUUAAAUUUUUUUUAAAAAAAAAAGAAAAAAAAAAAAGAAGUUGGUGCUCUUCUCUAAGCACUAUGGGUAGUGGCUAGUUGACAACUUGGCAUAGUGCUCCACUACGAGUGUCAUGG
rnacentral:lncRNA from 1 species